CCUACGGGGUGCAGCAGUGGGGAAUAUUGGGCAAUGGGCGCAAGCCUGACCCAGCAACGCCGCGUGAAGGAAGAAGGCUUUCGGGUUGUAAACUUCUUUUCUGAGGGACGAAGAAAGUGACGGUACCUCAGGAAUAAGCCACGGCUAACUACGUGCCAGCAGCCGCGGUAAUACGUAGGUGGCAAGCGUUAUCCGGAUUUAUUGGGUGUAAAGGGCGUGUAAGCGGGAAAGCAAGUCAGAUGUGAAAACUCAGGGCUCAACCCUGAGCCUGCAUUUGAAACUGUUUUUCUUGAGUGCUGGAGAGGCAAUCGGAAUUCCGUGUGUAGCGGUGAAAUGCGUAGAUAGACGGAGGAACACCAGUGGCGAAGGCGGAUUGCUGGACAGUAACUGACGCUGAGGCGCGAAAGCGUGGGGAGCAAACAGGAUUAGAUACCCGAGGUC
rnacentral:rRNA from 1 species